rnacentral:rRNA from 1 species
AUGUUGAUGCAAGACUACUUCGCGGACAAUCCAACAUAUCCGCCGCAUCUCUUCCGGAGGAGGUACCGAAUGCGCCGAUCCCUCUUUGCUAAAAUAGUUCAAGCUUAACAAGCCAAUUGUCGGUAUUUUACUCAAAGAAGAAAUGUCGCGGGCUUGAAGGGAUUUAGUGCAUAUCAAAUAAUCUCGGCAGCUAUGCGGGUAAUUGCAUGCGGCAUUCCGGCUGACUGUGUUGAUGAGUACCUUCGCAUUGGUGAAGAUACUACAAUUGAGUCAGUGCGUAGGUUUGCCAAAGUGAUCCUCUGUGUCUUUGGUCCUGAAUAUCUUCGGGCACCCAAUGAGGAAGACACAAAAAAUUGA